rnacentral:rRNA from 1 species
UGAGGAAUAUUGGUCAAUGGGCGCAAGCCUGAACCAGCCAAGCCGCGUGCAGGAUGAAGGCCCUAUGGGUCGUAAACUGCUUUUAUACGGGAAGAACUCUCCGACGUGUCGGAGGCUGACUGUACCGUAUGAAUAAGCAUCGGCUAACUCCGUGCCAGCAGCCGCGGUAAUACGGAGGAUGCAAGCGUUAUCCGGAUUUAUUAGGUAUAAAGGGUGCGUAGGCGGACUUGUAAGUCAGCGGUGAAAUACUACGGCUUAACCGUAGAACUGCCAUUGAUACUGCAGGUCUUGAGUACAAUUGAGGUAGGCGGAAUGUGUGGUGUAGCGGUGAAAUGCUUAGAUAUCACACAGAACACCGAUUGCGAAGGCAGCUUACUAAGUUGCAACUGACGCUGAUGCA